rnacentral:lncRNA from 10 species
CAAAAUUCCGUCUCAAAAAAAAAAAAAAACCCAAACCCCAUUCUCAUACCCGCUCCACAGCCUCUGCUCUGGCCUCUGCAAUAUAAUCACACAAAGAGCCCCCAUCCCAGAAAGCCCUUGGACCCAUCACAGCCCCCAUAGCUAGGAACCUUUCAUGGACCACAGACCGAAUGUACAUGUUAGCACAUUCCGGGGCUCCAGCCAAUGUCUCCACCCCAAAACUUAAGGCUUAAACCAACACCCUUUUAAUUAUUUCUUUUCUUUUUUCUUUUUUGAGAAGGAGUCUCAGUCUCACCAGAUUGGAGUGCAGUGGCGCGAUCUCUGCUCACUGCAACCUCCGCCUUCCAGGUUCAAGCGACUCUCCUGCCUCUGCCUCCCAAGUAGCUGGGAUUACAGGCACCCACCACCACGUCUAGCUAAUUUUUGUAUUUGUUUAGUAGAGAUUGGGGUUCCAGCAUGUUGGCCAGGCUUGUCUCGAACUCCUGACCUCAAGUGAUCCACCCACCUCGGCCUACCAAAGUGCUGGGAUUACAGGUGUGAGCUACCGCGCCCAGCCCCUCUUAAUUGUUUCUGACUGAAAUCUACGCCGGGUUCAGCUGGCUGUUCUGCUGUCUCCCUUUGGUUCCUCAUGUGGCUGCAAUCAACCUGAGGCCCAACUGGCCUGGAAAUCCACAACACCUUCACUCACAUGCCUGAUAGCUCAGCUGAGAUAAUGGAGCUUCCAGGAGUGGCCCAAGAGUCUUUCCAUGCAGUCCAGGAGGGCAGGUGGAUCUCUUAACUUCAGGUGGUGGCUCAGUGGUUCCAAGAAAGAGAGAUCCAAGGAGACAAGUCCCUGCUUGUAUCAUACUUGUUGACAUGUCAUUGAUCCCAGAUCAGUGUGGGAGGCAUUACACAAGGGUCUCAAUAUUGGGAGACAGAGUUAUCUGGGGACUGGGCGAGGUGCCUCACUCCUGUAAUCCCAGCAAUUUGGGAGGCCAAGGAGGGCGGAUUACUUGAGGUCAGGAGUUGGAGACCAGCCUGGUCAACAUGGUGAAACCCUGUCUCUACUAAAAAUACAAAAAUUAGCUGGGCAUGGUGGCGGGUGCCUGUAGUCCCAGCUACUUUGGAGGCUGAGGCAGGAGGAUCACUUGAGGCCAGGAGUUUGAUGCCGCAGUGAACCAUGAUUGCAGCACUGCACUCCAGCGUGGGAGGCAGCAAGACACUGUCUCUAAAGACUCUCGAAGAUUGGGGUGGGCGCUGCAUGUGAUUGUGUGUGAGGCUGAACAGAUGGCAGGGGAAACUCGCUGGAGCCCAGCCUCCUUGGGGUCCACACUGGUACCCAACUGACAGUUGGAAGGCGCGGCCAGUUCAGCACCGCGGACAGCUCCAGGACAGGCGCCUAUCCCUGGCCUCUGAGCCCCGCCCCCGGCGCGCCAGCCCUUCCCGCAGGACCCGCCCAGAUUUAAAGCUCCGUCAUCCCGUUUAAAGAGGCCAAGGCGGCCUGGGCGGCGAUGACACCGCGUCCAGCUGUGGUUACAGACUAAUUCUCCCACAGAGACUCAGACUGGCCUGGUAGGGAAGAGGACUUUAUUGGGAUGUUAGUAGGGAAACAUGAGAGGGUGAAUUCCAGGGAAUAGACACUAGGACCAAGGUGGCGGUCACCUUA